UACGAAGGGGGCUAGCGUUGUUCGGAUUUACUGGGCGUAAAGCGCGUGUAGGCGGGCUUGCAAGUUGGGGGUGAAAUCCCGAGGCUCAACCUCGGAACUGCCUCCAAAACUGCAAGCCUGGAGCAAGAUAGAGGCAAGUGGAAUUGCGAGUGUAGAGGUGAAAUUCGUAGAUAUUCGCAGGAACACCAGUGGCGAAGGCGACUUGCUGGAUCUUUGCUGACGCUGAGACGCGAAAGCGUGGGGAGCAAACAGGAUUAGAUACCCGCGUAGUCC
rnacentral:rRNA from 1 species